GUUAAAAUCUAUUCACCUGGACAUAUUGCUGUAUACAACACUCAUUAUGCUCCGUAAUUAAAAGUAUUAUGAUGGGGUUGUAAGGAAUGACUGUUGUUACAGCUAUAAAUUUUAAGCACUUUCUAAGAAAUGAUUAUUGACUUCUUUCACCAACCACUGAUAAAUUACAUUGCAGAUAAAAUGUAAGCGUUUGAUUGGUCAGUCCUCUAAGGGAAGCCUUAUAUAUUAUCUGUAUGACAUAGUGGGAACACUAUUACUAUUACAGUAACAAAUCCCA